UCAGUUGUCUUAUAAUUGAAGACUGGAAUGAAUGGUUAAACGAAAUUAAAGCUGUUUCAUUUGUAUUUAUUAGAAAUUAGCUUUUAAAUGAAGAGAUUUAAAUUUGAUUAAGGGACAAGAAGACCCUAUUGAGCUUUAAAUAAUUUAAAGGGUUAAAGUUAUUAUAAAGAUCUAUGGUCUUUAGUAUUUUUUAGUUGGGGCGACUAAGGAACAGAUGAAGCUUCCUUUAUUUAUUUGAUUGAUAGAUUUUUGAUCCAGGGUUGCUGAUUAAGGGAGAUAGUUACCAUAGGGAUAACAGCAUAAUCUUCUUGGAGAGUUCUUAUUAAAAAGGGGGGUUGUGACCUCGAUGUUGGACUAAAAUAUCCUAAUGGUGUA
rnacentral:rRNA from 1 species